CAGAGGCCGACUGGACAACCAAGGCCACAAAAACUAACCCGGGGCUGGGAGCGGUGGCUCACGCCUGUAAUCCCAGCACUUUGGGAUGCCGAGGCGGGGCGGAUCACGAACGAGAGUAUCUGUUUUGCAUUCCUUACUUGGUGGAGGUAGAAUGAGAGCCAAUGAUUCUUCACCAUCACACAGCCGGUUAUCAAGAUAGGAAUAUGCUCACCCCAAAGUUUUCUUCAAUGACCUUCACCAGAAAAA
rnacentral:lncRNA from 1 species